GCACCCAUAGCUCAACGGAUAGAGCACUUGUCUUCGGAACAAGGAAUGAGGGUUCGAUUCCUUCUGGGUGCA
rnacentral:tRNA from 1 species